AGCAGGCGCGUAAAUUGCCCGAAUCCUGACACAGGGAGGUAGUGACAAGAAAUAACAAUACAGGGCUACUUCUAGUCUUGUAAUUGGAAUGAGUACAACUUACAUCUCUUCACGAGGAUCAAUUGGAGGGCAAGUCUGGUGCCAGCAGCCGCGGUAAUUCCAGCUCCAAAAGCGUAUAUUAAAGUUGUUGCAGUUAAAACGCUCGUAGUCGGGUUUCGGGUCGGGCCGAGCGGUCUGCCGAUGGGUAUGCACUGUUUGGCGCGGCCUUCUUUCCGGAGACCGCGGCUACUCUUAACUGAGCGGGCGUGGGAGACGGAUCGUUUACUUUGAAAAAAUCAGAGUGUUUCAAGCAGGCAGCUCGCUCUUGCAUGGUACAGCAUGGGAUGAUUGAAUAGGACUCCGGUGCUAUUUUGUUGGUUUCGAACACCAGGAGUAAUGAUUAACAGGGACAGUCAGGGGCACUCGUAUUCCGUCGAGAGAGGUGAAAUUCUCAGACCAAUGGAAGACGGACCACUGCGAAAGCAUUUGCCAGGGAUGUUUUCACUGAUCAAGAACGAAAGUUAGGGGAUCGAAGACGAUCAGAUACCGUCGUAGUCUUAACCAUAAACCAUGCCGACUAGGGAUUGGAGGGUGUUCGUUUCGACCUCUUCAGCACCUUACGGGAAACUAAAGUCUUUGGGUUCCGGGGGGAGUAUGGUCGCAAGGCUGAAACUUAAAGGAAUUGACGGAAGGGCACCACCAGGAGUGGAGCCUGCGGCUUAAUUUGACUCAACACGGGGAAACUUACCAGGUCCAGACAUUGUUAGGAUUGACAGAUUGAGAGCUCUUCCUUGAUUCGAUGGGUGGUGGUGCAUGGCCGUUCUUAGUUGGUGGAGUGAUUUGUCUGGUUAAUUCCGAUAACGAACGAGACCGUAGCCUGCUAAAUAGUCCCGCGAACUUCUUGUUGGCGGCCGACUUCUUAGAGGGACAACUUGUGACCAACAAGUGGAAGUUUGCGGCAAUAACAGGUCUGUGAUGCCCUUAGAUGUUCUGGGCCGCACGCGCGCUACACUGAAGCACUCAACGAGUCCACCUCGACCGACAGGUCUGGGAAACCUUUUGAAAUUGCUUCGUGAUGGGGAUAGAUUAUUGCAACUAUUAAUCUUCAACGAGGAAUUCCUAGUAAGCGCAUGUCAUCAGCGCGCGUUGA
rnacentral:rRNA from 1 species